AGUGAACGCUGGCGGUAGGCCUAACACAUGCAAGUCGAACGGCAGCACAGUAAGAGCUUGCUCUUACGGGUGGCGAGUGGCGGACGGGUGAGGAAUACAUCGGAAUCUACUUUUUCGUGGGGGAUAACGUAGGGAAACUUACGCUAAUACCGCAUACGACCUACGGGUGAAAGCAGGGGAUCUUCGGACCUUGCGCGAUUGAAUGAGCCGAUGUCGGAUUAGCUAGUUGGCGGGGUAAAGGCCCACCAAGGCGACGAUCCGUAGCCGGUCUGAGAGGAUGAUCCGCCACACUGGAACUGAGACACGGUCCAGACUACUACGGGAGGCAGCAGUGGGGAAUAUUGGACAAUGGGCGCAAGCCUGAUCCAGCCAUACCGCGUGGGUGAAGAAGGCCUUCGGGUUGUAAAGCCCUUUUGUUGGGAAAGAAAAGCAGCAGGUUAAUACCCCGCUGUUCUGACGGUACCCAAAGAAUAAGCACCGGCUAACUUCGUG
rnacentral:rRNA from 1 species